AUUCCGCACUGUGGCCGCAGUUAUCCAACACAAUGAAGAGACCUCUACGGACCAGACAUGGGCUUUUGUCAGCCAACAGUUUUGUGACUGACUUCUCCCCUUGGUGAAUUACAGGUAGAGACUACACCAGGUGAUGUCCUCACACAAAGGAAACCUUAUUUGCCGUAAAUAAGGAGAUCAUAGGAUCACUUCCAAAGCCCUGACUUCCUGGAGCAGGAAUGAAUGACUUACUUUUAUUUAGGAUUAUGAUAAAUAUUCAGAAAGAGAAGCUUUGUCAUCACAGGCCUGUCAGAAAGCUGACACACUCUACGGAACCUUUCCCUCACUGAUUUUGGAAAACUUUGACUACACUGGAAGACCUACACGACAAACAGCUGAGGCAGGCAACUACGAACUGGAGGCCAUCUCCAGCUGACAUUGUAACCAAACUAAUGAGGUGGUUCUCUCAGUUCUACUUGGACUUUGAAAAUAGUUGAGGAAGAACUUAGCAG